rnacentral:misc_RNA from 1 species
UUAACACCUGGGUUUUAAGGUUAGCCUUGGGCUUCUAACAAUUAGAAGCUGUUAUUGUUUAACAGAUAUUGUGUGUGUUAUUUAUGCACAGAAAAUUGAAGUUAUAAAGUAAAAAAGCAUAUGACUUUCAAGCUGCAUGUUGACCAUUUCAAAUAUUUUAUUUUGUGCAUUUAAGCACCUGAGCUUCAAAGCAUUGUGCAUCUGUUAUGCCUUUCUGAACAGUUAUUUUGGAGAGGAAAGAAUUGUUUUUUGGUUAAUUUAGACAUGAUUCCAUAUUCUAUAUCUGCCCACAUAUGGCAAAUUGAAUUGAAAUGUGAAGAAUAUAAGACUGCCAGUUAGGGCAUAGCCAACCUCUAGCUACAUUGAGUUGAGUUUAUCAGAUCCUCAUUAGAUUCUUGGAGAUCUCUGUUUAGAUUUCGUUUCUUUAUUAAACCCAUUGCUAUUGAUACAAUCUUCCAGGGCUGUUGGGAACCCAAAUGACCUGUUUAGUUUUUAACAAAUCCUACUAUUGACAAUAGAAGUUUCUUGCAUUGAUUGUAGCAAAAGUUCUUGAAUCUUCAAAUCUGUUCUUUGGUUAAUAUAAAAGCUAUCAUUUAACAAUAAAAUUGAAGAAAAAUAAAACUCUGCCCACUAUUUGUGGCCAGCACAAUUUGUUAUUGUUCAGUAGAUAUAUUUAAUAGCCAAUUGAUUGUGAAUGAGGUAUUACUGCUGUACACCUUUGUCACUCAACUAAAUCCUUGUACAGCCAUAUCCUCUAAAAUUCUUAGUUAUCUUAUAUUUUCUUACAGUAGCAAUAUGAUUCUUUUUUUGUUUUUCAUAUUCUCCUGCAUCAUUUUAUCCAUAGUGGUGCUCCACUGGAUAACAAGAUGAGAGGUUAUCAGAUUUAGAUUCAGUGGGGGCUAGUAUGUCAUGAAGUUACCAUGGAUUAGUACAAUGUAAAAAUUAUUCAUUGAUGAGCUCUUUUUUUUGGGGAAUCUUGCAAAUACAAAGACCUUAGAAAAGUGAACAGUGAAUUCUCUUCCAUGCCAAUUUCUUCCUCUUUGAAUCUUGUCUUCCUUUGUAUGCUUUAUAGGCGAAAUGUUUUGCAUUGGCCAAGGGAUUCUUUGCAUAAAGGUUUAAGCAUGAAAGUUCCUCUUCAACUAUCUACACUAAUAUUUUAGGUAACAUCUUGUGUAGAAAACUGUUCUUACAAAACAAAGUGUAACUUUGGGUAUUUAUUGGGCUUCUUUUUUGGUCUUUGUUUCUUUGUUCCUCUCCAUACAAUUUAGAAGUUGCUGUCUACCUAUACUUUCUCACUCUUAUGUAACUUGAAACUAUAAAUUUAAAAAAAAAAAAAAAUCAUCUCAUUGCAUUACUUCACAUUUCGUCUUCUUGUCAUAUUUGCUCCACAUCAUAUUGUUUCUUUAGGACAUUAUUUUAGAUUCGGAUUGCUUUCGUACAUGUCAUAUAUUGUGUUUUUUACCACCCCUUUUUGUUUCAUCUUUCCCUUGUUCCUAUGCAAAGGAUUUCAUCAAUGUCGAUAUGGCUACAAGAAUGUUUCUGAUCUUGAAGGCGUGGUUGCUGGCUAUGCAAAUGCUAGUAUCCCUCUUGAAGUUAUGUGGACAGAUAUUGAUUACAUGGACGGUUACAAGGAUUUCACUCUCGAUCCCAUCAACUUUCCUGCAGAUCUAAUGAAAAAAUUUGUCGACCAACUUCAUAGAAAUGGUCAAAAAUACGUUGUUAUUCUGGAUCCUGGUAUUAGUGUUAAUGAUUCCUAUGGAACCUAUAAUAGGGGGAUUCAAGCUGAUGUGUUUAUUAAACGUGAUGGUGUUCCUUACUUGGGACAAGUUUGGCCUGGACCUGUCUACUUCCCUGAUUUUUUAAAACCAGACACCACAACUUUCUGGAGGGAUGAGAUCAAACAGUUUCGAGAUAUCCUUCCUUUUGAUGGACUUUGGAUCGACAUGAAUGAGAUAUCCAAUUUCAUAACUUCCCCUUCAACACCAUUCUCCACCCUUGAUAAUCCCCCUUACAAGAUUAACAAUGCAGGAAUCCAACGACCAAUCAAUAAUAAGACAACACCAGCAACAUGCUUGCAUUUUUCUAACAUUACAGAAUACGAUGUCCAUAACUUGUAUGGACUGCUAGAAGCUAGAGCAACCCAUGAAGCCUUGACAGAUGUGACUAGUAAAAGGCCAUUUGUACUUUCUAGAUCUACUUUUGUAAGUUCUGGCAAGUAUACUGCUCAUUGGACUGGAGACAUUGCCUCCACCUGGGAUGAUUUGGCCAACACCAUUCCUACCAUGUUGAAUUUCGGACUCUUCGGAAUACCAAUGGUUGGUGCCGAUAUAUGUGGAUUUUCUGGCAACACAACCGAAGAACUUUGCAGGCGUUGGAUUCAGCUUGGGGCCUUUUAUCCCUUUGCGCGAGAUCACUCGGAAAAAAACAGUAUUCGGCAAGAGCUCUAUCUCUGGGAUUCAGUUGCUUCAACAGCCAGGAAGGUGCUAGGACUCCGAUAUCGACUGCUUCCGCUUUUUUACACAUUACUAUAUGAGGCACACACCAAGGGAACACCCAUAGCAAGGCCUCUUUUCUUUUCAUUUCCUGAAGACGUCAACACUUACGAAAUCAAUUUCCAGUUUCUAAUUGGUAGUGGUGUACUGGUCUCACCGGUAGUAAUGUCAGGAGCAGUGUCAGUUGAUGCAUACUUCCCUGAAGGAAAUUGGUUUAGCCUGUUUAAUUACUCUGAUUCAAUCAGGGUAAGCUCAGGUAAGUAUGUCACACUUGACGCACCACCUGAUCAUAUAAAUGUGCAUGUCAAGGAAGGCAACAUUUUGGCAAUGCAAGGGGAAGCAAUGACAACAAAAGCUGCUCGAAUGACACCAUUUGAACUCCUGGUGGUUGUGACCAGCAAUGGAAAUAGUUCUGGAGAACUAUUUUUGGACGAUGGGGAGGAACUAGAGAUGGGAGGAUCAGAAGGGAGGUGGGCUUUCCUUAGAUUUCAUGGUGGACGGCAGAGGAAUAAUACUAUAUUUGUUGCAUCAGAAAUUUUGAAUGGAGGAUUGGAUUUGAGUCAGAAAUGGAUAGUGGAUAAGGUGAGUUUCAUAGGGUUGGAGAAGGCUGAGAGAUUGAAGGCACGUGAGCUAAGGAUCACAAAGGGUUCAAUGAUGAAUGGCAAACCUGUUGUAAAGGCUCGUUUGGACAGCGAUUCACAGUUUAUCAUCAUUGAAAUUUCAGGACUAUCACUUCUUAUUGGAGAAGCCUUUAACCUGGAACUAGACCUAACGGUGAAAAACUCUUAAAAGGAACAUAUGGCUUUGAAUAACGCAAUAACCCAAUUGGGCAAAUUCUGUUUUCCUAUUGGGAUGGUAAAGGUAGCUACUUGCAACGAGCAUUCUACACAUAUCAUGUACAAUUUUUUAAGCAAAAAUUAUUCGAAGUUCAGCUUCUCUAGAAUAUAAUAAUUAACGAUAAAAUAACAUUAUUAUGCCAUAUAUUGUAUGGCUAAGUGCUCAUAAUUAUUUUUUCAUCAUUAAUUUGAAUUAACUCACACUAGACAUUUUCC